AGCUUUGCAUAGUGGCAGUAUCAUAGCCAAUGAGGUUUAUCCAAGGCAUGAUUAUUGAUAAUUAAAAUAAAUUCUUAAUUUGUUACAUAAUGUGGUAGUUGGUUUAUGUAUCUGCGAUCGACUAUAGAGGUGCA
rfam:Pteropus alecto contig166460, whole genome shotgun sequence.